UACGGAAGGCAGCAGUGGGGAAUAUUGCACAAUGGGCGCAAGCCUGAUGCAGCCAUGCCGCGUGUAUGAAGAAGGCCUUCGGGUUGUAAAGUACUUUCAGUCGUGAGGAAGGUGUUAAGGUUAAUAACCUUAGCAAUUGACGUUAGCGACAGAAGAAGCACCGGCUAACUCCGUGCCAGCAGCCGCGGUAAUACGGAGGGUGCGAGCGUUAAUCGGAAUUACUGGGCGUAAAGGGCACGCAGGCGGUUAAUUAAGUUGGAUGUGAAAUCCCCGGGCUUAACCUGGGAAUGGCAUUCAAGACUGGUUAGCUAGAGUCUUGUAGAGGGGGUAGAAUUCCAUGUGUAGCGGUGAAAUGGCGUAGAGAUGUGGAGGAAUACCGGUGGCGAAGGCGGCCCCUGGACAAAGGACUGACGCUCAUGUGCGAAAGCGUGGGGAGCAAAC
rnacentral:rRNA from 1 species